rnacentral:rRNA from 1 species
GAUGAACGCUGGCGGCGUGCCUAAUACAUGCAAGUCGAGCGAACAGACGAGGAGCUUGCUCCUCUGACGUUAGCGGCGGACGGGUGAGUAACACGUGGAUAACCUACCUAUAAGACUGGGAUAACUUCGGGAAACCGGAGCUAAUACCGGAUAAUAUAUUGAACCGCAUGGUUCAAUAGUUAAAGACGGUUUUGCUGUCACUUAUAGAUGGAUCCGCGCCGCAUUAGCUAGUUGGUAAGGUAACGGCUUACCAAGGCAACGAUGCGUAGCCGACCUGAGAGGGUGAUCGGCCACACUGGAACUGAGACACGGUCCAGACUACUACGGGAGGCAGCAGUAGGGAAUCUUCCGCAAUGGGCGAAAGCCUGACGGAGCAACGCCGCGUGAAUGAUGAAGGUCUUCGGAUCGUAAAACUCUGUUAUUAGGGAAGAACAAAUGUGUAAGUAACUAUGCACGUCUUGACGGUACCUAAUCAGAAAGCCACGGCUAACUACGUG